rnacentral:misc_RNA from 1 species
GAUGAAGAACGCAGCGAAAUGCGAUACUUGGUGUGAAUUGCAGAAUCCCGUGAACCAUCGAGUCUUUGAACGCAAGUUGCGCCCGAAGCCACUAGGCCGAGGGCACGCCUGCCUGGGCGUCACACGUCGUUGCCCCCCCAUCUACUCCUUCGGGAUUGCGGGGGGGCGGAUGAUGGCCUCCCGUGCGCCUAGCCGCGCGGUUGGCAUAAAUACCAAGUCCUCGGCGACGCACGCCACGACAAUCGGUGGUUGCGAAACCUCGGUUGCCCGUCGUGUGCGUUCGUCGCGCAUCGGGGGCUCGAAAAAAUGCUCGGCUUCGGCUCGGCUUUCAACGCGACCCCAGGUCAGGCGGGGUUACCCGCUGAAUUUAAGCAUAUCAAUAAGCGGAGGA